AGUGAACGCUGGCGGUAGGCCUAACACAUGCAAGUCGAACGGCAGCACAGUAAGAGCUUGCUCUUACGGGUGGCGAGUGGCGGACGGGUGAGGAAUACAUCGGAAUCUACUUUUUCGUGGGGGAUAACGUAGGGAAACUUACGCUAAUACCGCAUACGACCUACGGGUGAAGGCAGGGGAUCUUCGGACCUUGCGCGAUUGAAUGAGCCGAUGUCGGAUUAGCUAGUUGGCGGGGUAAAGGCCCACCAAGGCGACGAUCCGUAGCUGGUCUGAGAGGAUGAUCAGCCACACUGGAACUGAGACACGGUCCAGACUCCUACGGGAGGCAGCAGUGGGGAAUAUUGGACAAUGGGCGCAAGCCUGAUCCAGCCAUACCGCGUGGGUGAAGAAGGCCUUCGGGUUGUAAAGCCCUUUUGUUGGGGAAGAAAAGCAGCAGGUUAAUACCCCGCUGUUCUGACGGUACCCAAAGAAUAAGCACCGGCUAACUUCGUG
rnacentral:rRNA from 1 species